GGUUAAAAAGCUCGUAGUUGGAUUUCUGCCGAGGACGUCCGGUCCGCCCUCUGGGUGAGUACAUGGCACGGCCUGGGCAUCUUCUUGGGGAACGUAUCUGCACUUGACUGUGUGGUGCGGUAUCCAGGACUUUUACUUUAAGGAAAUUAGAGUGUUUCAAGCAGGCACACGCCUUGAAUACAUUAGCAUGGAAUAAUAAGAUAGGACCUCGGUUCUAUUUUGUUGGUUUUCGGAAAUCGAGUUAAUGAUUAACAGGGACAAUUGGGGGCAUUAGUAUUCAGACGACAGAGGUGAAAUUCUUGGACCGUCUGAAGACUGACUACUGCGAAAGCAUUUGCCAAGAGUGUUUUCAUUAAUCAAGAACGAAAGUUAGAGGUUCGAAGGCGAUCAGAUACCGCCCUAGUUCUAACCAUAAACGAUGCCAGCUAGCGAUCUGCCGAGUUUUUUUUGUAGGCUCCGCAGGAAGCUUUCGGGAAACCAAAGCUUUUGGGUUCCGGGGGAAGUAUGGUUGCAAAGCUGAAACUUAAAGGAAUUGACGGAAGGGCACCACCAGGAGUGGAGCCCGCGGCUUAAUUUGACUCAACACGGGAAAUCUCACCAGGCCCGGACACUGGAAGGAUUGACAGAUUGAGAGCUCUUUCUCGAU
rnacentral:rRNA from 1 species